CCUUGUGGAGGAGGACGCCGAAGGUGGGGCUAAUGACUGGGGUGAAGUCGUAACAAGGUAGCCGUACCGGAAGGUGCGGCUGGAUCACCUCCUAACAGGGAGACAACAAAAUGUUUAAUAUUAUUAUUUUGUCACCUUAGGUCGAUCGGUAUCUCACAUUCUUAAUUCAUUAAGAAUUUCAUUUCCUAAGUUUUUCUAGGUCACACCCAUUAUUUUUCCUGGGCCAUUAGCUCAGGUGGUUAGAGCGCACCCCUGAUAAGGGUGAGGUCCCUGGUUCAAGUCCAGGAUGGCCCAUAUCUCUAUGUUGGGGGUAUAGCUCAGUUGGUAGAGCGCCUGCUUUGCAAGCAGGAUGUCAGCGGUUCGAGUCCGCUUACCUCCACUGAUUACCACCUCUUCCAUAAUUUGGAGAAAGGAAAUUUUUUGAGUUGUGAUCAAAUUCUGAACGAAUCUAGCUUCCUAAUGAAAUCAUUAAGAUGCUGGACUCAUUGAAUUAAAUUCAUUGUUUUCAGAGAACCUUGACAACUGCAUAGAUUAUUUUUAAAGACAAUAAGCAUCUUUAAUGAUGCAGAUUUAUUAUUUGUGCGAAUGCAUUAAUAACAAUUCUAUUAAGCUGAUGCUUCAAUUUUGAAGUUAUUGGUCAAGCUACAAAGGGCUCACGGAGGAUACCUAGGCACACAGAGGC
rnacentral:misc_RNA from 1 species